GUAAAUCUUCAUAAGAAUAUGCAUAGCAGAAUCACUGAAUCUAUCACAGUUCUCAUGAUCAAUUAUUAAGUUUAGAUUCCAUUUUGUGGCUACUAGUUGCCACAACUAGUGGGUCUGAAAUCAUCUGUUAGCACAGGGAAAUUAAUGGCCCAGUGUUGCAGCUCCUUAGCACAGAAGGUCUGUGGACUUGAAUGGGAGUUCUCAAAUUGUAGCUGAAACAUAAAAGUUUUCAUUUUGGAUUGAUCCUGAUGCAUUUUGUCCUAGGAAAUCUUUCAUUUUUAUAUAUAAAGAAGUUGUAGUUAUUUAUUUUUUCUAGCUACUUGAAGGGUCUUCAGAAAAAAAAAAAAAGUAUUCCUUGUUUUGUUCUUAAAUCUGGUACUUUUCAUGAAAAACAGGCCUAAUACCAGGACGCAUUAUGUGAACAUUUAAAAUGUUCUCUGCUUUGUUCUCUCUUAGAUCCAAGUUUUGUUAUUUGUGUACAAAGACAACCAGAUCCUCAACAAUACUGAACUUUAACUGAAAAGUCCAGACCAGAGUUUAGAGAAACCUGUAUAUUCUCCCCACAAAAGUAGUUGUUGCCAAUAGUUUGUAUGAUUGACCAUGCGUGUACUUUUCUUACCUUAUGUUGCAACCAACAAUAUGUCUGUGUUGUGAAAGAUUGGCUGUUUUUUGGGAUGGAUCUCCUACCCUUUCACCUGACAGUCAGGUUCCCUUUAACCAGCUCUCAAACAUAAUUCCAACUAGACCAAGGCAGAGCAAUAACCCAAAGCUUUCUUCUCUUUUCUUUCUUCUCCAGGUUCUCCCUGAUGAUUGACUGGCUCACUGCAGACAGCCUGAGAAGUUAAGAAAUGUACUUUUGAUCUUUUUGUAACAUCAGCGAAAUGAAAUUAGCGGGAAUAGUUUUAACUUCACAAUUUGCUGGAAGACAAAGGAAACAACAACCACCAAUUGGAAAGAGCCCUGCUGCUCUUCAGGACAUGCAGGAAUUAGUAGACAGAAGUGGAAGAAACUUUUUUUUUUCCUCUGACAGGACAACUGGAUCAGAGACUGAAGCAGGGAAAGUACGGAAGAGACAACAACAAGCUGUGUUGCCUUGAUGCAGAAGUGGAAACAAACAGCCAGAAAAUUCAGCACAGAAAUGAAGCUUUAAAAACAGAGAAAAGUCUGUCCAGUGCUUCUUUCUUUUAUGCUGUGGUGUUGUGGUUGCUGUUUUCCGUGAAGAAAAUGUGAAUAAGAACUUUUUCCUAGUUUACACUAUGUUGAUCUUUGUAUGUUGUAAGAUCAUGAAGAAAGGUCUAAGAUGCUAUGGUGACUCUGGCUUUAAGAGCCUGAGAAAUCACUAAAAACACUUUUUGAUUUGAAUGAAACAAACCCUUCCUUAAUCUUUAGCUAGAAGUAUAGUGUUUUUUUGUUCCAUUAAUAGGAUAUAUAUUACCAAAUAUUGCCGUACUAUCCAUGGUCCACAGAUCUGUGUGGACCAAGUCAUAAAGUGUUUUAAACAAAGCAAUAGAGCCUGUGCAUAAAAACAGAAAUGUGGUUGUCAUCAGGUGCUUACAAUACAUAUAAAAUGAUCUCUUUAGAAUAAAAUUUACCCAUCUGCAGAAGAAUGGGAUGAC
ensembl:lncRNA